rnacentral:misc_RNA from 1 species
AACGCAUAUUGCGCCCCUUGGUAUUCCGGGGGGCACACCUGUUCGAGCGCCAUUAGGACCCCUCAAGCAUUGCUUGGUGUUGGGUUAGGUCCUUUAGGGGACCCACCCGUAACUCGUAGGUGGUCAUCGGUGACCCCCCCUAGCGUAGCAGGCUAAACGCACCCGCUCGGGGGUGGCCCCUGUGGCCCCGCCUAAAAAACUUUUUAUGUCCAAAGGUUUGGCCUCGGAUCAGGUGGGGAUACCCGCUGAACUUAA